CUAUUUGCGAAAUAUAUAGAUAUAUAUGUACUACAUCAGAGGAGUGUGCGUGUAUGCGAUGUGCGUGCGGUGGUGGUCGAACGGCGACUAAUUUGUGUGUGACGCGGACAUAUAUAUAUAUAUAUAAUAUAUGUGUAUAUAUAUAUAUAUAUAUAUAUAUAUAUAUCUAUAUGUAUCGAACUUUCCUUUUGAGCGCGCGCGGUUGAAAACGUGAAGAAUUUUUGGUGGUGUGUGGUGUGAGAUGUGAACACUACAGUCUCUACGCUAUCACUAAGCAGGAGGCGCAUUCUGCGUGCCGUGAUCUCUCUCUCUCUCUCUCUCUUUCGCUUGCUCUCCAUGGAGCUGCUCGUCCUCGUCCAACGCGCGCUUUCGCCCGCUUCAGAGCGUCUCACUCGCUCGCUCGCUCUCGGGGCUCGCUCCCUACUCUCCUCUUUUCAGGGUGGGGCACACCACCGCCGCCGCCGUCCAGCGGCACAGAAGGAUACCCGGUCGAUAGUACGCACCUACACCCACACCGCCACUGCCGCCGCCAGUGCCGGCGCACCGGUGCCGGCGGCGACCCUCUCGUCGCCGCUGCUGCGUGCGGGGCAACUCACACACACGUGCGUGAGUACGCGUGUACGUGUGUAUAUGUGUGUGUACGUGCUGCACCGGCGCGGGAACGGUGCCGGUGGUGGUGGCGAUGACGAGGAGGAGGACGACGACGACGACAGUGAUGGUGGAGGUGGAGGAAGUGGUGGUGGUGGUUGUUGCGCUCGCGAUUUCGAACACGGCGCCGAAUUUCCGGCGCUCACCAACUCCACGCACGUUCCCCGAUUUGUCCGAGCGCAUAUCGCGACGUUAACCCUUCAGUCGGCUGCGAACGUCGUGCGCAUGGGGCGACCGCCCGAAGGGGAAGCGGCUCGAGCAGGGGGACGACCCGAGGAGCCUAAUACGGGCGAUCCGCGCGAAAAAAACGAAAGUCGUUAACGAGUCAACAACGCGGGCGCUCUCGGGGAGGGACUGACCGGGGCAGUUAUUAUGGGAUUAUUACGGAAAGGCUCCCGGUGACUGCGGCAAUUCCGUUAUUCCGUAAAAUGAAAGUACCUAAAGCCUGAACACUUUUGUUGUUUUGACCUUUAAAUAUGAAUAUUUAAACUUUCAAUAUAGAAUAACGUAUAUAUAUAUAUAUAUAUUCCGAGUGAAAGUUUAAAUAUUCCUAUUUAAAGAUCAAAACGAUAAGAACGUCGAAAGUUUAGUAAGUGUCCAGACAUUAGUACUUUUGCUUGCCUUAACCUUCUGCGAUCUUAGGUCAAGUCACCUACCUUAACAUUGCGACAUCUCGAUCUCAUCGAGUUUAGAAGCAAUGUUUUAUUCAUUGGUUGCGUUCAGCGAACACAACGAUUGUACAACGGUUAAAUAAUUCAUUAACGUAAUUGGUUUAAAUUUAGGGAUCUAACAGUAGAGACCAAUAAUCAAUGACUGUUCACUGAUCGCUUUUUCCGCUAAACGCAGCAGGUGAUAUACAUCCCGGAUAAAAAAUUUCUUGGAAUCUAAUUAAGAUCGAUUUCCCAAAUAAAUGAUAGAUUCUAGUUAGAAAAUCUACGCAGAUUUUGGUUAGAAGCGUAAUGUUUCAAAUAUAAGAUUUUAAGUAGAAAAAACAAACAGAUCCUAUUUGACCAACCCGAACGUUCUCCCAGAUAUUUUUUGGUUUCCAUUUUACAUUACGAUUGAACGAAAUGUACGAAGCAUUAUAGAUAUUUAUAUUUUGCAAGUACAUACACACAUACUACACGCACGUUCUAUUAAAAACAUAGGCUGCAUUCCAAAAUUCACUGCCAGUAUUUCAAAUUUAUAUUACGUGUAUUACAGACUUUCAAUAUCGUCAGUAAAUAUCGGAACGCAACCAUAAUAAUAUUAAAUAUAUAACUCUAUUUGUUAACUUUUGAUGUUCAAAUUGUCAUCCGAUUCUAGUAAUGACGCACGUGGCACAAAGUAAGCCUCAGCGUAUAGCCAAUCGGCAUUGCGGAAAAGAGGCUUUGUCCUAUGUUUGGGAUAAGAAUAGGAAUUCCCUCGACAAUUGGUAGUAGGUAUGACUUAUUCUGGAGUAACUCUGAGUAUUCUAAAUGGAAUCUAUGUUGUGUCUGAAAAAAUCAUGAGAAUUUCCUACGCGGAAUAAUAUAUUCAAUAUAAAUAUAUUAUUGUAAAUAUAUGUUGUGAUAUUAGUUAAAUAUUAAAAUGUUGAAACGAAAACAAACUGCGCGAUAUUGCCGCGAAAUAAAUAAACUUCUGCAAAUCUAUUGAGAAGAUCAGCUGAAAAUAAUUCGGGUCGCAAAGAGUUAAAUGUUCUAUUAUAUUAUGGGGGGAGGGGGGGGGCCGAAAUUAAACCGUUUAGAGGGUUCUUCGAGAAUAUAAUUUUCUUUGGAAAAUUAUUAGAAAACUAUUUAGAAAAGUUUCGAUCGAAAUAACUCCGUCUUCCCAGAUAAUGCAAUAGGAAUGUAGAGGAUGGCACAAGUACUUCGAUAUGGAUCUUUUUGAAACAUAAUUGCCCUGCUCGAUAAGGUUUCCAAUUAGGAUAAUUCUGUUAUUUCUUAUGUCCCAUUGUGUGUCUGGGAAAAACGGAAUUACACUCCGAAAUCUUUCCGGAUACCUUCAUAAUUGCCCUGACCUUUUUCCGACAAAAGCUCGGAAGGAUCUCGCUCAAUCGGAUCCUGGUUCCUGGAAAGCCAGAGCUCUCACUCUGUAGUGAUCGCGUUUCUAAAGAUCACCUGUAAGGGCGGCCUGGUGUCAACUUGGCCAAUUAAGCUGUAUUGCGGCAGGAAUAACGAAAAACGAAUCGCAAAAUGUUCCUGUUAGAACACAGGAGAAACACCUGCGUUCUAACAGGAGCCUUUUGCGAUUUUCCAAUAUUCCUCUUUCACAAUAAAAACAUUAACAGAACACGCGAAUAAUGUGACCUUUAGGACUUCAUUCUGGACGCAUAUUCAGACAAAAAUGCUGCUGUAUCAGCAGAAUUGGUCAACAGCGCCAUAAUUGGAAUGAAUUUUCUUUAUUCAACAGCAAUAUUAUUGAAACUAAUACUCGAGUUAUUGAAGCAAUAUAUAAUACAUUAGUUUCAAUAAUAUAGCUAUUAAAUCGAAAAGAUUUACUCCAAUUAUGGCGCUGUCGGUUAAUUCCAUUGAUACAACAGCAUUUUCUUUCUUCGCAUAGCAAACGCUAAAUAUGCCUAAUUCCAAGUUCACUUCUUGUAUGAACACCACGUAUAUGACGUUACAGCUUAAGAAUCAGAAAAGCAUAUUAGCGUUCGCUAAGCGUUCAAAGAAUACGGCCCUCGGGUCGACUCGAUCCGGUUUCCUCUUUCAUCGGAUACCUUUAAAGGUCUAUUCAUCAACAAUGCAAUCUCACGCGGUCCACCUUCCAAUAAUGUUGUUCGUGCGAUUUUGAAACUUUCCCUCCUUAUUUCUGCACACACUAAGAAAAAAAUAUAUGUAAAAAAUAAAAGAAAUACUUUUUCGGUAUUACCGCGCAUUUAUCGAAGCGCCGUUACGCUGCCGCCGGCGAGAUUCACGCAGGUUCUACUGCUCGCCUUCAAAAGUCACACCAGCGUGACAGCGGCCGAUAACCGUUGGCGAGCAAAAGUCACGUCAGCGUGACAGCGGCCCGCAAAGUGUUAAUAACACAUUUACUUAUAUUGAUGUACAUAUUUUGAUGCUGAAAACAAUUUUGCUCGAAUGAAAAAAUGUGCAUUUUCUUUAAUAUAGCUUCUCGUAAAAGCGAUCGUUUAUUCUUUUUAAAUAAGAGAAUUCAGAAAGAGAUUUAAUAAUGUUAUCGAAUAUGUUUGAAUUUUUUAAAUUCUUCUUUUCUCUUCAUUUGUCUGUUAUUACUGCCGGCAAGUUUUCCCCAUCCCGGAGAAUCGCCCGUCGCAAAUUUUUACUUCCCAUUUCCCACAAACUUCUUCGCGAAACGUCCGCGCGCGGGGCCGGCCUUCUUUUUCCGCUCUCGCGCAAUGCUAUCGAUUUUACGCGCGCGCGUGCGAAUGCGAUUGCGCUAAUAUGCUCUCGCGAUCACGUCACGCUCCAGUAGGUCGCUUUUAAAUCGCCGAAAUACCGGCUGCUGACAUUUGUUUGAACAUUAAGACUGCCAGCAAAAGUGAAAGACGCCGAGGUUAGUGUCGGUCACACCUCGCUGCCUACAAACCUACGCCGGCUGACUUCUCCAAAUUUUCCACGUUCAUAAGUCGAUCACGAUACGCGAUGCGUGUCGAAAGCACGAUACGAAAGGAAAAAGAAACGAAAAAAAAAAUGAAGGAAUUCGAUCGUUCUGUUAAAAAAUAACGAGGUAAACGGCGGGCAGACCUCGCUUUUGCUCUCUUUCUCUCUCUCUCUCUCUCUCUCUCUCUCUCUCUCUCUCUCUCUCUUCCCUCGUGUAGUUUGCACAAACGUGUCGCUCUUCGGAAUUAUUGUCGUUAUUAUUACAGCCGGAAGCGAGAAGCGGUGAUUCAAAGGGCUCGUUACGCCUCCUCGUUCACCACUUCGUAGCCUCUUCAGUCUCGCAGAGGAGAAAGAGGACGAGGAACGUUCAAAAGAGUCGGGCAAUGAAAAGGGCGGCCCAAAGUGCCAGCGAGAAACUGCGGCGCGUGCAGCACCACCGUCAUGUGAAUUUAACGCGACUUGCAUACCCUGUCUGUUCACGACGUGACGAGGCGUUUUCGCCCGUCUCGUCCUCCCGAGGACGACAGCGCGUCGUCGAUGGCGCGCUCGAAGAAUCUCUCCCGUUAUCGAUCGCAUACAGACCGGCCGAGGCCCUUCGUCCACGUACCAAGGUCAAGGCCCGACCUCGCGCCAGCCAGCUCACGAGCCCUCCUCUCAUCGGACGUACCGGUUUGGCCUCCUCGUGGUCCACCGAUGCAGCUCCUACGCGACGUUUCGCACGCUCCCGAGGAGUUAUGUAAUCUGUGACUUUCGGCCAGGCCGGCGUCGCUCCGCUGUUUCCACAAGCGCUCGCGCUUUUCUGCGGGAGGGUGCGUCGAUCGCAUACCCGCCCCAGGAAUGGAGCAGAAAAAAAGGAAGGAAACGCAAAAGAGCCGUCAUUGGUCGAGCGAGCGAGCGAGAACUGCUGCGCGACCAAUCUCGGAAAUAACCUCGACAUCCGGUCGCCGAGACACUGACCGCCUUCGCAGAAUUCCCGCCCAGGAAGUAUUACGAUUCGAGUCCUCGGUGGAGCGGUUUGCCGACCAUGACCUCGUUACGCUCGCGCUCCGCGCACGAUCCGGGAAAAUAAAGACAGAGAGAGCAAGAGAGAAAGAGGGAAAGACAGUUUAUUGGAUCCGCGAACGAGGAGGAUCGUCGCGCAUCGAGCGUCGCCAAAUAUCUCUCGGCGAUCCAUGCGGCGGCCGGGUAUUGCGCGGGUGUGACGUCCUCGACGAGGCGAGGACUCGCAGCGAGCCGGUGUAAGGAUAGGAGCCAAUGGCCGGCUGAUAAGCGUCCGGUCGCCAAGGGAUCGCUGCCAAACGAAAUUUUCUACUCCCUCGCCUCGUUCUCGUCGCCCUCCUCCCCCAUCGUCUCUCGUCGUCGUCGUCGUCGCCCCUGGACUCACGUGCUGGCGGAAUCGGCGACCUCGUCCAAGGUUCGACGAAAUGAAGCGAGAGAUAUUUCAGCUGCUAAUAGUCAGCGGACCACCCUGAACAUUCAAGGAACGCUCCUCGGUCGUCUCUUGAACAUCGCCGUACAGCAGAAUCGUGAAAUAACAGGCGACAACGCGCGAUGAUCGCCGAGCUACGAAGCUAGAUUUAGCGCGGAAUUCUCGUAGACCGGCUGCUCCAGGCUCUCUCUCUCUCUCUCUCUUUCUUUCUCUCUCUCUAUCUCUUUUUCUUUUCCUCUCACUUAUUCUCCCUCUCUGGGAGGGAAGCUGGAGGUCUGGGCCUGUUAACGGCUGUUGGGACCGAAAUACACAUCGGCAGCGCGGAUGCACCGACGAGAAUUGUUCGUUUUUUUCUCUCUCUCUCUCUCUCUCUCUCCCUCUUUCUCUUAUGCUUCUCCUGCUCGCGCCGCCGUCGCGGCGGAGAUAAAUCUUCGUUGCGGUACAGUCGGUUCAAGUGAUGCGCGCGCUUCGCGAGCCUUUCGGACUGGACAUCGCCCUUUUCUCGUGAGCUCAUCGAGAGUUCCAAGGAAAGAAGCGGUAAUCGUGCGUGAAUAUUGCGCGAAUAUGACUCGUCGGAUACGCAGCAGCCGAAAAAAAGAUCUCGAAAAAAGAUCUAACUUUGGCUUCCGGGAUGGAACCGCGUUUUUGUAGAUUUUUCGCUCAACGUUUCGUAAACACAGUUCAAUCUACUUCGUCAGAGAGAAAGAGAGAGAGAGACAGAGAGAGAGAGAGAAUAGCAAUCUGAUACUGAGUUGUUCCUCAGCAACUAUUUCUUUAAGAAUGAACAAAUAUCGACUAAUCAGGAAGGGGUAAUGGCGGGAGGACGAAGUACGGAGCUAGAGGAAAUUUUAUUUUGUGAAAUAUAUUCAAAUAUUAUAAUAUUAAAAAAUAAAUACACGUUAUUUACAAUAAUAC